rnacentral:rRNA from 1 species
GACCGAGGUCCCGAGCGUUCGACGGAAUCACUGGGCUUAAAGCGUGUGUAGGCGGAAGGGUAAGUACCUUGUGAAAUCCCACGGCUCAACCGUGGAACUGCUUGGUAUACUGCUUUUCUUGAGCCACUUAGGGGCAACCGGAACAAAUGGUGGAGCGGUGAAAUGCGUAGAUAUCAUUUGGAACGCCAAUGGUGAAAACAGGUUGCUGGGAGUGUGCUGACGCUGAGACACGAAAGCCAGGGGAGCAAACGGG